GGGUGUGAGAGUGAUCUGGCUAUAACAUCUGUCAUUCCAUUGAUUGCCAGGCUGGCUUCAUUAGUUCUGGCUGGCUAGUCUAGGGUCUCCUUUCUCUCCUACCUUUCUGCAUGUGUCUCUUCUCAAGCUGCAUGCUCUGUCAAAGAGGCCUUGCUUCUCUAGUAGGGUGGAUCAUUCUUCAGAGAAGAAUAUACUUAUU
rnacentral:snRNA from 1 species